UACGAGAGGUCCAAGCGUUAGUCGGAAUCACUGGGCUUAAAGGGUGCGUAGGCGGAUCCGUAAGUGUCUUGUGAAAUCCCCGGGCUCAACCCGGGAAUUGCAUGGCAUACUGCGGAUCUUGAGGAAUCUAGAGGCCGGCAGAACAAUAGGUGGAGCGGUGGAAUGCGUAGAUAUCUAUUGGAAUGCCAAAGGUGAAGACAGCCGGCUGGGGAUUUCCUGACGCUGAGGCACGAAAGCGUGGGGAUCAAACAGG
rnacentral:rRNA from 1 species